CAUUACCGAGUUAUUCAACUCAUCAACCCUGUGAACAUACCUAAACGUUGCUUCGGCGGGAAUAGACGGCCCCGUAAAACGGGCCGCCCCCGCCAGAGGACCCUUAACUCUGUUUCUAUAAUGUUUCUUCUGAGUAAAACAAGCAAAUAAAUUAAAACUUUCAACAACGGAUCUCUUGGCUCUGGCAUCGAUGAAGAACGCAGCGAAAUGCGAUAAGUAAUGUGAAUUGCAGAAUUCAGUGAAUCAUCGAAUCUUUGAACGCACAUUGCGCCCGCCAGUAUUCUGGCGGGCAUGCCUGUUCGAGCGUCAUUACAACCCUCAGGCCCCCGGGCCUGGCGUUGGGGAUCGGCGGAGCCCCCCGUGGGCACACGCCGUCCCCCAAAUACAGUGGCGGUCCCGCCGCAGCUUCCAUCGCGUAGUAGCUAACACCUCGCGACUGGAGAGCGGCGCGGCCACGCCGUAAAACACCCAACUCUUCUGAAGUUGAC
rnacentral:rRNA from 1 species